AACGGUCUAUACCUGCGGUACCUGCGGAGGGAUCAUUACCGAGUGAGGGCCCUCUGGGUCCAACCUCCCACCCGUGUUUAUCGUACCUUGUUGCUUCGGCGGGCCCGCCUCACGGCCGCCGGGGGGCACCUGCCCCCGGGCCCGCGCCCGCCGAAGACAUCAUUGAACUCUGUCUGAAGAUUGCAGUCUGAGUAGAUUAGCUAAAUCAGUUAAAACUUUCAACAACGGAUCUCUAGAUCG
rnacentral:misc_RNA from 1 species